CAACUACUCCCUCUGUCCCAAAUUUCUUGUCUUAGAUUUGUCUAGAUACGGAUGUAUCUAAUACUAAAAUGUGACUUGAUACAUCCUUAUCUAGACAAAUCUAAGACAAGAAUUUUGGGACGGAGGGAGUACUUU
rfam:Triticum aestivum genome assembly, contig: Triticum_aestivum_CS42_TGACv1_scaffold_330726_4BS